rnacentral:rRNA from 1 species
CCUACGGGAGGCAGCAGUGAGGAAUAUUGGUCAAUGGGCGAGAGCCUGAACCAGCCAAGUCGCGUGAGGGAGUACUGCCCUAUGGGUUGUAAACCUCUUUUGUCGGGGAGCAAAAGCCGGACGUGUCCGGCUGUGAGAGUACCCGAAGAAAAAGCAUCGGCUAACUCGGUGCCAGCAGCCGCGGUAAUACGGAGGAUGCGAGCGUUAUCCGGAUUUAUUGGGUUAAAAGGGUGCGCAGGCGGAUUUUUAAGUCAGCGGUAAAAUCGUGGGGCUCAACCCCAUCCAGCCGUUGAAACUGGGGAUCUAGAGUGUGCGAGAGGUAUGCGGAAUGCGUGGUGUAGCGGUGAAAUGCAUAGAUAUCACGCAGAACCCCGAUUGCGAAGGCAGCAUACCGGUGCACAACUGACGCUCAGGCACGAAAGCGUGGGUAUCGAACAGGAUUAGAUACCCGGGUAGUC